UACCAGCACCCCGAGUGGUCGGGACGAUUAUUGGGCCUAAAGCAUCCGUAGCCGGCCUUACAAGCUCCCCCGUUAAAUCCCAAUUGACUUAACGAUGGGCUGCGGAGGAUACUAUAAGACUAGGAGGCAGGAGAGGCAAGCGGUACUCAGUGGGUAGGGGUAAAAUCCGUUGAUCCAUUGAAGACCACCAGUGGCGAAGGCGGCUUGCCAGAAUGCGCUCGACGGUGAGGGAUGAAAGCUGGGGGAGCAAACCGG
rnacentral:rRNA from 1 species